rnacentral:rRNA from 1 species
GACGUAGGGUGCGAGCGUUGUCCGGAUUUAUUGGGCGUAAAGAGCUCGUAGGCGGCUCGUCGCGUCGACCGUGAAAACCCGCGGCUUAACUGCGGGCUUGCGGUUGAUACGGGCGGGCUAGAGUUCGGUAGGGGAGAUCGGAAUUCCUGGUGUAGCGGUGAAAUGCGCAGAUAUCAGGAGGAACACCGGUGGCGAAGGCGGAUCUCUGGGCCGAUACUGACGCUGAGGAGCGAAAGCGUGGGGAGCGAACAGG